rnacentral:rRNA from 1 species
UACGUAGGUGGCAAGCGUUGUCCGGAAUUAUUGGGCGUAAAGCGCGCGCAGGCGGUCCUUUAAGUCUGAUGUGAAAGCCCACGGCUCAACCGUGGAGGGUCAUUGGAAACUGGGGGACUUGAGUACAGAAGAGAAGAGUGGAAUUCCACGUGUAGCGGUGAAAUGCGUAGAGAUGUGGAGGAACACCAGUGGCGAAGGCGGCUCACUGGUCCGCAACUGACGCUGAGGCGCGAAAGCGUGGGGAGCAAACAGG